AAGCUUCCGUCCCUUUUUUUUUGGUUUUUCAUGGUUUUGUCUCUUUUAUUUUUAUUUCCUUUUUUUACUUUUCCUUUUUUUAUUUUUAAAUUGUGUGAACUUUUUGAAUUCAAAAUCUUUUGUAAACUAGUGAACUUUUAAAAAACCUGUGAACUUUUAAAAAACCCGUGAACCUUUUUUUCAAAACCGCUGAACUUUUUUUCAAGUUCAUGAACUAUUGUCCGAAUCUGUGAACUUUUUCUGAACACAUGAACAUUUCCAAAUCCACAUACAUUUCUAAAUUUCUGAACAUUUCUCAAAAUGAGUGAUUUCAAAAAAUUCGAUGAUCUUUUUCCAAAUUUGUGUUUAUUUUUUCAAAAUCAAUGAUUUUUUUCAAAGUCAUGAACUUUCAAAAAGGCACGUUGGGAUGACCCACACGAGCGUGCGCGUGCAUGCUGCUUUCGCUAGGCGGUUCACGAGCGCUGAGGAGGAGCUCUCUUUCCUUUGGCGGCUCUGUCGCCACUCCGUUGCGUCGGCCACUCUCACCGGAAGUGCCCCCUCCUCCUCCCUUACCCGCGACGCAUCCUCGCUUCCACGCCCAUUCUAAUUUCUAUUUCACGCGAGCGGCGCCGUCCAUCCCUCCGAUGCAGUGCCGGCCUUUCGUGCCCAGCGCCUGCCGCUGGGGCAGCAGCGCGCUCUGGUCGUUCGGCGGAAUGCCGACCCGGGUGCCGGUUCGUAAACCGUUACGGUGGCCAUCGAGAGGCUGAUUCGGGCUCACAGAUCAAGCUUGGGACGCGUUCUGACGCCUCUUUGUGUGUGCUGGUGGUCUUUCGGCCGCGUCAAUCCCUGGACAUGGAAACGCCACGCAUUCAAAAAUGAAACAGUUGGUGGAGAUUUGCAGAUAUCCGAAGGGCGAGAUAGUUCAUGGGGAGAUCAUACCGAAAGGUGGGCGUGAUCGGGAGGAAUCAUCUGCGUCUCGGUCAGCCUGUGGCGGGGCGGGCGAUCUUUGGUCUCUUCCAUCCUCUUGACCUUAUCACACGUGCUUUGUCUGAUGGAUACAUCUGCUUGUGUUUUCCGUCCUCCUGGCUCCACUGGCACACUAUUGUGGACCAUGGAUUGUGACGCUCUGCGGCCAUUAUUUGAACUCUGAAGCCGUUCAAACUUGACAGUAAACUGGGGUGGCGUGUGAGGCUUGGCAAUGGCCCUUGGUUCGGAUGCUUGCGCACGACGGUGACGACGCACAUGACGAUGCGGCGACGGCGAGCUUGAGCAGCUGGCGCUGGAGCUAGAGGCAGAGAGGCUGGUGUUGUGCUGGGUGACAUUGCAGGGCGGUCUCUGCCGGGGGCAAGCCGCCGGCGCUACCGCCGGAGGCGAAUAAGCCGCUGCUUGGAUUGUUUUAUUGUGCAGAUACUGGGGUGGACAGGAGCAGGUGAGAAAUAGUCUUUCCACCACGAUGUAGCAUAUCCGACAUUUCUCCCGCGAUUGUUUGUCCGACGCCUUGGCUUGGAGCCACCAUGAGUAGAGCAUUCACCUGCUCAUGCCCCUCGCGGUCUGCGAAUGACAGCAAGAAUGAGUUCGUCCUUGCUAGAUGAAGAAGGCGUCGAAUUCAUGUGCAUAUCUAUAACGAAUUUGCCAUCACC